AUUGAACGCUGGCGGCAUGCCUAACACAUGCAAGUCGAGCGGAGCGGCGGACGGGGGAGUAAUGCCUAGGAAUCUGCCUGUUAGUGGGGUAUAACGUCCGGAAACGGGCCCUAAUACCGCAUACUAUCAGAUGAGCCUAGGUCGGAUUAGCUAGUGGGGGUGGUAAAGGCCUACCAAGGCGACGCUCCGUAACUGGUCUGAGAGGAUGAUCAGUCACACUGGGACUGAGACACGGUCCAGACUCCUACGGGAGGCAGCAGUGGGGAAUAUUGGACAAUGGGCGAAAGCCUGAUCGAGCCAUGCCGCGUGUGUGAAGAAGGUCUUCGGAUUGUAAAGCACUUUAAGUUGGGAGGCGUUACCAAAAGAAUAAGCACCGGCUAACUUCGUGCCAGCAGCCGCGGUAAUUC
rnacentral:rRNA from 1 species